rnacentral:rRNA from 1 species
GAACGCUGGCGGCGUGCUUAACACAUGCAAGUCGAACGGGGAACCGAUUGUAGCAAUAUAGGUGGUUCUAGUGGCGGACGGGUGAGUAACGCGUGAGGAACCUGCCUUGGAGAGGGGGAAUAACACAUUGAAAGAUGUGCUAAUACCGCAUGAUAUAUCAAUUUCGCAUGGGAUUGAUAUCAAAGAUUAAUCGCUCUGAGAUGGCCUCGCGUCUGAUUAGCUAGUAGGUGGGGUAAUGGCCCACCUAGGCGACGAUCAGUAGCCGGACUGAGAGGUUGACCGGCCACAUUGGGACUGAGAUACGGCCCAGACUCCUACGGGAGGCAGCAGUGGGGAAUAUUGGGCAAUGGGCGCAAGCCUGACCCAGCAACGCCGCGUGAAGGAAGAAGGCCCUCGGGUUGUAAACUUCUUUUAAGAGGGACGAAAGAAAUGACGGUACCUCUUGAAUAAGCCACGGCUAACUACGUGCCAGCCGCGGC